rnacentral:rRNA from 1 species
AUACGUAGGGUGCUAGCGUUAUCCGGAUUUACUGGGCGUAAAGAGUGCGUAGGUGGCUUUGCAAGCGUAGGGUAUAAGGCGACAGCCCAACUGUCGUUGGCCCCGCGAACUGUAAGGCUUGAGUACAGGAGGGGAAGGCGGAAUUCCUAGUGUAGCGGUGAAAUGCGUAGAUAUUAGGAGGAACACCAGUGGCGAAGGCGGCCUUCUGGACUGUAACUGACACUGAGGCACGAAAGCGUGGGUAGCAAACAGGAUUAGAUACCCUGGUAGUCCACGCCGUAAACGAUGAGCACUAGGUGUCGGGCUCGCAAGAGUUCGGUGCCGGAGCAAACGCAUUAAGUGCUCCGCCUGGGGAGUACGCACGCAAGUGUGAAACUCAAAUGAAUUGACGGGG